rnacentral:rRNA from 1 species
UACGUAGGGUGCAAGCGUUGUCCGGAAUUAUUGGGCGUAAAGAGCUCGUAGGCGGUUUGUUGCGUCUGCUGUGAAAACUCGGGGCUUAACUCCGGGCCUGCAGUGGGUACGGGCAGACUAGAGUGCGGUAGGGGAGACUGGAAUUCCUGGUGUAGCGGUGAAAUGCGCAGAUAUCAGGAGGAACACCGGUGGCGAAGGCGGGUCUCUGGGCCGUAACUGACGCUGAGGCGCGAAAGCGUGGGGAGCAAACAGG